rnacentral:rRNA from 1 species
UAACUUUUAAACAUGCAAGUCGAGCGGUAACAGACAUAAAGAUUCAGCUUGCUGAAUCCGGUGCUGACGAGCGGCGAACGGGUGAGUAACGCGUAGGAAUCUACCCAGUAGCGGGGGAUAGCCCGGGGAAACCCGGAUUAAUACCGCAUACGCCCUAAGGGGGAAAGGGGGCAGCUUGCUGCUCAUGCUAUCAGAUGAGCCUGCGUAAGAUUAGCUUGUUGGUAGGGUAAAGGCCUACCAAGGCGACGAUCUUUAGCUGGUCUGAGAGGAUGAUCAGCCACAUUGGGACUGAGACACGGCCCAGACUCCUACGGGAGGCAGCAGUGGGGAAUAUUGGACAAUGGGGGCAACCCUGAUCCAGCAAUACCGCGUGUGUGAAGAAGGCCUUAGGGUUGUAAAGCACUUUAAUCAGAGAAGAAGCAUUUUAAGUUAAUACCUUAAUAUGUUGACGUUACCAUCAGAAUAAGGACCGGCUAAUUCCGUGCCAGCAGCCGCGGUAAUACGGAAGGUCCAAGCGUUAAUCGGAAUUACUGGGCGUAAAGCGCGCGUAGGUGGUUUAGCAAGUNNNNNNNNNNNNNNNNNNNNNNNNNNNNNNNNNNNNNNNNNNNNNNNNNNNNCUAGGAUAUGGUAGAGGUGAAUGGAAUUCCGAGUGUAGCGGUGAAAUGCGUAGAUAUUCGGAGGAACACCAAUUGCGAAGGCAGUUCACUGGACCACUAUCGACGCUGAGGAGCGAAAGCUAGGGGAGCAAACAGGAUUAGAUACCCUGGUAGUCCUAGCUGUAAACGAUGGAUACUAGAUGUAGGAAUUGGAUCGACGAUUUCUGUAUCGUAGCUAACGCGUUAAGUAUCCCGCCUGGGGAGUACGGUCGCAAGACUAAAACUCAAAGGAAUUGACGGGACCCCGCACAAGCGGCGGAGCAUGCGGCUUAAUUCGAUGAUACCCGUAGAACCUUACCUACCCUUGAAAUCCAGCGAAGUUUUCAGAGAUGGAGAUGUGCCUUCGGGAACUCUGUGACAGGUGUUGCAUGGCUGUCGUCAGCUCGUGUCGUGAGAUGUAUGGUUAAGUCCAGUAACGAGCGCAACCCCUAUCCUUAGUUGCCAGCGCGUAAUGGCGGGAACUCUAGGGAGACUGCCGGUGACAAACCGGAGGAAGGUGGGGACGACGUCAAGUCAUCAUGGCCCUUAUGGGCAGGGCUACACACGUGCUACAAUGGCCGGUACAAAGGGCAGCGAAGCCGCAAGGUGGAGCGAAUCUCACAAAACCGGUCGUAGUCCGGAUUGCAGUCUGCAACUCGACUGCAUGAAGUUGGAAUCGCUAGUAAUCGCGGAUCAGAAUGCCGCGGUGAAUACGUUCCCGGGCCUUGUACACACCGCCCGUCACACCAUGGGAGUGGGCUGUACCAGAAGUAG